rnacentral:pre_miRNA from 1 species
AUAAGAUAAGAUUUGUAUGGAGUUGGAACGUUUGCCCACGUUUGCCGCUAGGGGCGUUGUUCCAACUGCAUACAAAAUUGAGUUA